UGUAUAUGCGUCUGUGAGAGUGUGUGUGUCUUCAGCACUUACCUUUCUCCAGCGCCGGACUCCCUUGGCGCUGGGGAUCCCUCAGCCUCUCAGCUCCAAAUGCGACCACGCACGCAUUCAAACCGCCCAUAGGAAAGCAUUACUCAAUGCUUUCCUAUGGACAUUCAGUGUGCUCCUCUAGCGGCUGUCAGUGAGACAGCCACUAGAGGCUGGAUUAACCCUCAGUGAAACAUAGCAGUUUCUAUGAAACUGCUAUGUUUUCAGCUGCAGGGUUAAAACUAGAGGGACCUGACAGCCAGACAACUUAAUUGAGCUGAUGUGAUCUGGGUGUCUGUAGUGGUCCUUUAAGUGUGUGUGCAUCUGCAUGCACUGGCGUACAUACCGC